CUCGAUGUACGCGCGCGAGUCGCCAAUGAGCCAAGGGAUGAAGAAGUCGUCAGGGCAAGUUGUGGUGGAGUGAUGGUUGAGAGUGCAAUCUAUUCUGCUUACCCGACUCAUGCAGACUUCUGUCCUGAUGUUUGGCUGUAGUCCUUCCAUCAUCCACUCUUCUGCAACCGGUCUAUUUAUGGAGACCACCAUGAUCUAAUCGAUACAGAUCUAGUUGUCUCUUCUCCCACAAACUCCUCUUUCAGAUUUUGAGCGGAUCUCCUUCAUUCUGCCGCCAGCUCACCAGAACCUCAGGAUGCACCAGCUGUGGAUAUUACAGGCCAAACUUUGGACACCCUAGGACAACAUCCUUAGCACAGAUCUACCUAUAGCCCUCCAUCAUUCCCACAUCCAUCUUGCAACAGUUUCAUUAAGUGCAGUCCAUAACCAGUUCACGGUCUACACAUUGUCCAUUGCAAAUGUUAUGGAUUAUUCUAAUAGAGAUCUUUCUAUUA